GACAGAAGGGAGCUUGCUCCCGGAUGUUAGCGGCGGACGGGUGAGUAACACGUGGGUAACCUGCCUGUAAGACUGGGAUAACUCCGGGAAACCGGAGCUAAUACCGGAUAGUUCCUUGAACCGCAUGGUUCAAGGAUGAAAGACGGUUUCGGCUGUCACUUACAGAUGGACCCGCGGCGCAUUAGCUAGUUGGUGAGGUAACGGCUCACCAAGGCGACGAUGCGUAGCCGACCUGAGAGGGUGAUCGGCCACACUGGGACUGAGACACGGCCCAGACUCCUACGGGAGGCAGCAGUAGGGAAUCUUCCGCAAUGGACGAAAGUCUGACGGAGCAACGCCGCGUGAGUGAUGAAGGUUUUCGGAUCGUAAAGCUCUGUUGUUAGGGAAGAACAAGUGCAAGAGUAACUGCUUGCACCUUGACGGUACCUAACCAGAAAGCCACGGCUAACUACGUGCCAGCAGCCGCGGUAAUACGUAGGUGGCAAGCGUUGUCCGGAAUUAUUGGGCGUAAAGGGCUCGCAGGCGGUUUCUUAAGUCUGAUGUGAAAGCCCCCGGCUCAACCGGGGAGGGUCAUUGUAAACUGGGAAACUUGAGUGCAGAGUAGGAGAGUGGAAUUCCACGUGUAGCGGUGAAAUGCGUAGAGAUGUGGAGGAACACCAGUGGCGAAGGCGACUCUCUGGUCUGUAACUGACGCUGAGGAGCGAAAGCGUGGGGAGCGAACAGGAUUAGAUACCCUGGUAGUCCACGCCGUAAACGAUGAGUGCUAAGUGUUAGGGGGUUUCCGCCCCUUAGUGCUGCAGCUAACGCAUUAAGCACUCCGCCUGGGGAGUACGGUCGCAAGACUGAAACUCAAAGGAAUUGACGGGGGCCCGCACAAGCGGUGGAGCAUGUGGUUUAAUUCGAAGCAACGCGAAGAACCUUACCAGGUCUUGACAUCCUCUGACAACCCUAGAGAUAGGGCUUUCCCUUCGGGGACAGAGUGACAGGUGGUGCAUGGUUGUCGUCAGCUCGUGUCGUGAGAUGUUGGGUUAAGUCCCGCAACGAGCGCAACCCUUGAUCUUAGUUGCCAGCAUUCAGUUGGGCACUCUAAGGUGACUGCCGGUGACAAACCGGAGGAAGGUGGGGAUGACGUCAAAUCAUCAUGCCCCUUAUGACCUGGGCUACACACGUGCUACAAUGGACAGAACAAAGGGCUGCGAGACCGCAAGGUUUAGCCAAUCCCACAAAUCUGUUCUCAGUUCGGAUCGCAGUCUGCAACUCGACUGCGUGAAGCUGGAAUCGCUAGUAAUCGCGGAUCAGCAUGCCGCGGUGGAAUAACGUUCCCCGGGCCUUGUACACACCGCCCCGUCACACCACGAGAGUUUGCAACACCCGAAGUCGGUGAGGUAACCUUUAU
rnacentral:rRNA from 1 species